rnacentral:rRNA from 1 species
UACGUAGGAGGCAAGUGUUGUCCGGAGUUACUGGGCGUAAAGCGUGUGUAGGCGGUGGUGUUAGUCUGGUGUGAAAUCUCCCGGCUUACCUGGGAGGGGGCAUCGGAAACGGCACGACUUGAGGGCAUCAGAGGCCAGUAGAACUCCCGGUGGACCAGUGAAAUGGGUAGAGAUCGGGAAGAAUACCAGUGGUGCAGACGGCUGGCUGGGGUGUACCUGACGCUGAGACACGAAAGCAUGGGGAGCAAACAGG